AGGAAUGUAGUUCAAUCGGUAGAGCACUUGCUUGGUUAGCAUGGAGCCCUGGGUUUGACCCCCAUCAUUACAU
rnacentral:tRNA from 1 species